GGGGGUGUAGCUCAUCUGGUAGAGCGCGUGCUUAGCAUCCGGAUGAUCCCCGAGAUCAUCGGUACAUGUUCCUGCACGAGGUACUGGGUUCGACUCCCAGCUCCUCCA